GCGGGGGUUGCCAAGCCAGGUUAAAGGCGUGAGGCUCAGGCCCUCAUCCCAUAGGGGUUCGUGGGUUCAAAUCCCACCCCCCGCA
rnacentral:tRNA from 1 species